GACGAACGCUGGCGGCGUGCUUAACACAUGCAAGUCGAACGGAAAGGCCCUGCUUUUGUGGGGUGCUCGAGUGGCGAACGGGUGAGUAACACGUGAGUAACCUGCCCUUGACUUUGGGAUAACUUCAGGAAACUGGGGCUAAUACCGGAUAGGAGCUCCUGCUGCAUGGUGGGGGUUGGAAAGUUUCGGCGGUUGGGGAUGGACUCGCGGCUUAUCAGCUUGUUGGUGGGGUAGUGGCUUACCAAGGCUUUGACGGGUAGCCGGCCUGUGAGGGUGACCGGCCACAUUGGGACUGCGAUACGGCCCAGACUCCUACGGGAGGCAGCAGUGGGGAAUAUUGCACAAUGGGCGGAAGCCUGAUGCAGCAACGCCGCGUGCGGGAUGACGGCCUUCGGGUUGUAAACCGCUUUCGCCUGUGACGAAGCGGGAGUGACGGUAAUGGGUAAAGAAGCACCGGCUAACUACGUG
rnacentral:rRNA from 1 species